AUUGAACGCUGGCGGCAUGCUUUACACAUGCAAGUCGAACGGCAGCGCGGGCUUCGGCCUGGCGGCGAGUGGCGAAUGGGUGAGUAAUGCAUCGGAACGUGCCCAGUAGUGGGGGAUAGCCCGGCGAAAGCCGGAUUAAUACCGCAUACGACCUGAGGGUGAAAGCGGGGGACCGAAAGGCCUCGCGCUAUUGGAGCGGCCGAUGUCGGAUUAGCUAGUUGGUGGGGUAAAGGCUUACCGAGGCGACGAUCCGUAGCUGGUCUGAGAGGACGACCAGCCACACUGGGACUGAGACACGGCCCAGACUCCUACGGGAGGCAGCAGUGGGGAAUUUUGGACAAAGGGGGCAACCCUGAUCCAGCCAUGCCGCGUGCGGGAAGAAGGCCUUCGGGUUGUAAACCGCUUUUGUUCGGGAAGAAAUCCUCUGGGCUAAUACCCCGGGGGGAUGACGGUACCGGAAGAAUAAGCACCGGCUAACUACGUG
rnacentral:rRNA from 1 species